AUUCUCAGAAUUCUGACUUUAAAGUCGGAAUUCUGACUUUAAAGUCAGAAUUCUGAGAAUAAAGUCAGAAUUCUGACUUUAUGGCGUGGGGUGGCGGAGGGAAAGUCAGUGUGGUGUGGUUUUGACCAGAGAGGACAUUAUGUCGUCAACGAGUGACUUUUUGCGUGCCAGAGGAUUGCCGGAGGACAUCAUUUCACACUUGGAGGAGCAGGGGAUUGACAGUGAUGUCAUCGCACUGAUGGACGAUGCCGCUCUUGCCAAUUACAUCCCUCGCUAUGGAGACCGCAUUGCACUCUUUAAUUUUUGCAAGACAAAACAGCCUACAUCCAAAAGAAAAAACUGACUUUUAGAAAAAACUACGUGAAAAAUGAAACUCAGGAAAGACAGUGACAAAGAGGACACCACCUCAAAGACACAACCACAAGAGACAAAGAAGCAGAAAACAACAAGAAAUAUUGCGAUCGGAUGGAUACACAGUGAUGGAAAGAUGACCAAACAGGUGAGGGAGAAGCAGGGAGGGGGUACCAGAAAACUUCAAAUGUCCACGGAAGCUGGGUUGAAAGACAUUCUCAAGGAAGGAAAAAAACUAUUUUUCCCAGAUGGAAUUUCUCCCAAAGGAUCACAAUUGGACUUUGAGUUUAAGGUUUGGGAUUUCAAACAAAACUGCCUCACUGAUGACACCUGCCAUUCCAUCGGCUAUAUGUACGAGGCUGCAAAGCUAACAUUGUUGCGUUUUUACAUUGCAACAAGACCAAAAGACAACCAAGAUGAUGUCCA